rnacentral:snRNA from 1 species
GUGCUCACUUCAGCAGCUCAUAUACUAAAAUUGGAACAAUACAGAGAAGAUUAGCAUGGCCCUGCACAAGGAUGACACGCUAAUUUGUGAAGCAUUCCAUAUUUAA